UACGAAGGGAGCUAGCGUUGUUCGGAAUCACUGGGCGUAAAGCGCACGUAGGCGGAUGUGUCAGUCAGGGGUGAAAUCCCGGGGCUCAACCCCGGAACUGCCUUUGAUACUGGUAGUCUCGAGUCCGGAAGAGGUGAGUGGAAUUCCGAGUGUAGAGGUGAAAUUCGUAGAUAUUCGGAGGAACACCAGUGGCGAAGGCGGCUCACUGGUCCGGUACUGACGCUGAGGCGCGAAAGCUAGGGGAGCAAACGGG
rnacentral:rRNA from 1 species